UGGGGAAUUUUGGACAAUGGGCGCAAGCCUGAUCCAGCCAUGCCGCGUGCGGGGAGAAGGCCUUCGGGUUGUAAACCGCUUUUGUCAGGGAAGAAAUCUUCUGAGUUAAUACCUCGGGAGGAUGACGGUACCUGAAGAAUAAGCACCGGCUAACUACGUGCCAGCAGCCGCGGUAAUACGUAGGGUGCAAGCGUUAAUCGGAAUUACUGGGCGUAAAGCGUGCGCAGGCGGUUUUGUAAGACAGAGGUGAAAUCCCCGGGCUCAACCUGGGAACUGCCUUUGUGACUGCAAGGCUUGAGUGCGGCAGAGGGGGAUGGAAUUCCGCGUGUAGCAGUGAAAUGCGUAGAUAUGCGGAGGAACACCGAUGGCGAAGGCAAUCCCCUGGGCCUGCACUGACGCUCAUGCACGAAAGCGUGGGGAGCAAACAGGAUUAGAUACCCUGGUAGUCCACGCCCUAAACGAUGUCAACUGGUUGUUGGGAAGGUUCCUUCUCAGUAACGUAGCUAACGCGUGAAGUUGACCGCCUGGGGAGUACGGCCGCAAGGUUG
rnacentral:rRNA from 1 species